rnacentral:rRNA from 1 species
ACGGGUGAGUAACGCGUGGGAAUCUACCCAUCUCUACGGAACAACUCCGGGAAACUGGAGCUAAUACCGUAUACGUCCUUUUGGAGAAAGAUUUAUCGGAGAUGGAUGAGCCCGCGUUGGAUUAGCUAGUUGGUGGGGUAAUGGCCUACCAAGGCGACGAUCCAUAGCUGGUCUGAGAGGAUGAUCAGCCACACUGGGACUGAGACACGGCCCAGACUCCUACGGGAGGCAGCAGUGGGGAAUAUUGGACAAUGGGCGCAAGCCUGAUCCAGCCAUGCCGCGUGAGUGAUGAAGGCCCUAGGGUUGUAAAGCUCUUUCAACGGUGAAGAUAAUGACGGUAACCGUAGAAGAAGCCCCGGCUAACUUCGUGCCAGCAGCCGCGGUAAUACGAAGAGGGCUAGCGUUGUUCGGAAUUACUGGGCGUAAAGCGCACGUAGGCGGAUACUUAAGUCAGGGGUGAAAUCCCGGGGCUCAACCCCGGAACUGCCUUUGAUACUGGGUAUCUCGAGUCCGGAAGAGGUGAGUGGAAUUCCGAGUGUAGAGGUGAAAUUCGUAGA